UACGUAGGUGGCAAGCGUUGUCCGGAUUUACUGGGCGUAAAGGGCGCGUAGGCGGCUCGGCACGUCCGUUGUGAAAUCGCCCGGCUCAACUGGGCGGGGUCAGCGGAUACGGUCGAGCUUGAGCAAGCUAGGGGGCAAUGGAAUUCCCGGUGUAGUGGUGGAAUGCGUAGAUAUCGGGAGGAACACCAGUGGCGAAGGCGGUUGCCUGGAGCUUUGCUGACGCUGAGGCGCGAAAGCGUGGGGAGCGAUCCGG
rnacentral:rRNA from 1 species